CAACAGGGUAAGUGGGUCCCUGCUUGGGUUGCCUGUGUUUCUGGAAGCUCAAUGUCCACGCAUCAGCAGUAGGGGAAGGGAGGGUUCUCAGCCCAGGCUGCAUCAUCAUGGCUGCCUACAACCUGCAGGCACCUGGUGAACGCUGGGGUCCUCACUGUCCGAGAUGCUGGAAGCUGGUGACUGGCUGUGCCUGAAGCUGGGAGAUUCAUCGAGUGCUUUGUUAAAGGGCGCCAGGCUGUACUGAGCAUGGUGCGGAAGGCCAAGUACCGGGAGCUUGCCCUGUCAGAGCUCCUGGGCCGCAGGGCCCCUUUGGCAGUGCGGCUAGGUCUUGCCUACCAUGUGCACGACCUCAUUGGAGCCCAGCUGGUGGACUGUGUCCCCACCACUUCUGGAACCCUCCUUCGCCUGCCAGAUACAUGAGGAGCCAAUGCUUGGAUUCUGCAACUCACUGAGUGAGGUUCCUGGAAGUGCCACCCCAGGGUGGCUGAACAAGUCACCGCAGUGGGUGCCAGGCUCUGCUGCUGCAAGCUGGGCUUCUACCUGAGCUGGGCUGUGGGCAUUGCAGCUCUUGCUUCUGUGCGUGUGGAGUCAGGAGCCGUGCCAAGGGGAUGAGAAGGUGGGAUUGCUGGAGACACUGGAGCAGGGAGUAGAAAACUCUGCCCUUCACGUCAGGCUGAAAUUGCCAAAUAAAAUACUUGUGCCUGCACUUCUUAC
rnacentral:lncRNA from 1 species